GAUGAAGAACGUAGCGAAAUGCGAUAAGUAGUGUGAAUUGCAGAAUUCAGUGAAUCAUCGAAUCUUUGAACGCACAUUGCGCCCCUUGGUAUCCCGAGGGGCAUGCCCGUUCGAGCGUCAUUUCACCACUCAAGCCUGGCUUGGUGUUGGGCGACGUCCUCUUUGGGGACGCGCCUCGAAACGCUCGGCGGCGUGGCACCGGCUUUAAGCGUAGCAGAAUCUUUCGCUUUGGAAGUCGGGGCCCCGUCUGCCGGAAGACCUGCUCGCAAGGUUGACCUCGGAUCAGGCAGGGAUACCCGCUGAACUUAAGCAUAUCAAUAAGCGGAGGA
rnacentral:misc_RNA from 1 species